UACGUAGGGUGCAAGCGUUAUCCGGAAUUAUUGGGCGUAAAGAGCUCGUAGGCGGUUUGUCGCGUCUGCUGUGAAAACUGGGGGCUCAACCCCCAGCCUGCAGUGGGUACGGGCAGACUAGAGUGCGGUAGGGGAGAUUGGAAUUCCUGGUGUAGCGGUGAAAUGCGCAGAUAUCAGGAGGAACACCGGUGGCGAAGGCGGGUCUCUGGGCCGUAACUGACGCUGAGGAGCGAAAGCGUGGGGAGCGAACAGG
rnacentral:rRNA from 1 species